AUUGAACGCUGGCGGCAGGCCUAACACAUGCAAGUCGAACGAGUGGCGGACGGGUGAGUAAUGUCUGGGAAACUGCCCGAUGGAGGGGGAUAAAUACUGGAAACGGUAGCUAAUACCGCAUACCAUCGGAUGUGCCCAGAUGGGAUGAGCUAGUCGGUGGGGUAACGGCUCACCUAGGCGACGAUCCCUAGAUGGUCUGAGAGGAUGACCAGCCACACUGGAACUGAGACACGGUCCAGACUCCUACGGGAGUCAGCAGUGGGGUAUAUUGCACAAUGGGCGAAAGCCUGAUGCAGCCAUGCCGCGUGUAUGAAGAAGGCCUUCGGGUUGUAAAGUACUUUCAGCGAGGAGGCGUUACUCGCAGAAGAAGCACCGGCUAACUCCGUGCCAGCAGCCGCGGUAAUUC
rnacentral:rRNA from 1 species